rnacentral:misc_RNA from 1 species
GUGAGCGGCGCGCCGGGCUCGGAGCGCAGCACGGCCUCCAUCUGGCCCCUGACGGUGAAGAGGAGGGCGUUGAAGGCGGCGACGGUGGCGAGCGGCGCCCCCAUCCCCUUGUACAGGCCCCUCGGCCCCUCGGCCGCCAGCGUCUGCUUGACGGCGUCCAUGGCGCCGGCGAACUUGGGCGGCUGCCCCGGCGGCGGCGUCGGCUGGCUCUGCAGCUUCACCUUG